rnacentral:rRNA from 1 species
CGCAGCCGCGGUAAUUCCAGCUCCAAUAGCGUAUAUUAAAGUUGUUGCAGUUAAAAGCUCGUAGUUGAAUUUCGGGGUUAGUAGGUUGGUCAUGCCUCUGGUAUGCACUGGCCUCACUGAUUCCUCCUUCCUGAUGAGCCGUAAUGCCAUUAAUUUGGUGUUGCGGGGAAUUUGGACUGUUACUUUGAAAAAAAUUAGAGUGUUUAAAGCGGGCUCACGCUUGAAUACAUUAGCAUGGAAUAAUGAAAUAGGACGUUUGAUUCUAUUUUGUUGGUUUCUAGGAUCGACGUAAUGAUUAAUAGGGAUAGUUGGGGGCAUUAGUAUUCAAUUGUCAGAGGUGAAAUUCUUGGAUUUAUUGAAGACUAACUACUGCGAAAGCAUUUGCCAAGGAUGUUUUCAUUAAUCAAGAACGAAAGUUAGGGGAUCGAAGACGAUCAGAUACCGUCGUAGUCUUAACCAUAAACUAUGCCGACUAGGGAUCGGAUGAUGUUAAUUUUUUAAUGACUCAUUCGGCGCCUUA